rnacentral:miRNA from 6 species
UCGGCUUCUUUACAGUGCUGCCUUG